rnacentral:rRNA from 1 species
UACAGAGGUCCCAAGCGUUGUUCGGAUUCAUUGGGCGUAAAGGGUGCGUAGGUGGCGUCGUAAGUCGGGUGUGAAAUCUCGGGGCUUAACUCCGAAACUGCAUUCGAUACUGCGGUGCUUGAGGACUGGAGAGGAGACUGGAAUUUACGGUGUAGCAGUGAAAUGCGUAGAGAUCGUAAGGAAGACCAGUGGCGAAGGCGGGUCUCUGGGCCGUAACUGACGCCGAGGAGCGAAAGCGUGGGGAGCGAACAGG